rnacentral:rRNA from 1 species
UACGGGGGGUGCGAGCGUUGUCCGGAAUCACUGGGCGUAAAGGGCGCGUAGGUGGUUUGAUAAGGGUGUGGUGAAAGUCCGGGGCUCAACCCCGGAUCUGCCGUGCCGACUGUCAAACUCGAGGACUGUAGAGGCAGACGGAAUUCCGGGUGUAGCGGUGGAAUGCGUAGAGAUCCGGAGGAAGACCGGUGGCGAAGGCGGUCUGCUGGGCAGUUUCUGACACUGAGGCGCGACAGCGUGGGGAGCAAACA